GAGCAAAUGACUCAUGUUCAAGAUGUUUCUUAAUAGGUCCUGGGAAACCGUUCUCUUGCAAGAUAUUUAUGUAUUUAGUGAGAAGAUGGACAGGCACAAAAAUCACUUCAGAUCUGUCAGUUAAAGAUAACUUUCUGAAUGUGACCUACUGAAAUACUUUCCUGCUCACUCUGUAAGUAAGUAGCUCUGGUGAGUCUGCCAUUGCUCAGAACUUUCUUGAGGAGAAGCAGAGUGAAUAUGACUGAUCAGAAAUCUAUUAUCCAGAAAUCAUUUGGGAAUACUGAACCUGAAACCUGUGGUUAUUUCUACCUUCCACCCAAUAAGACAGCUUUAUGCAGCAGAAGAGGUGUGAAUUUAGGUCACAAAGGGACUAGAAAGAUUCAAAAAAUUGAAGAAGUAUCAAUGCAUUAGAAAUCUCCUCUAGUAGUGAGACUCAAGGAGCAAGAAGCAGAAUAAUUCAAAGGGACAAGAAAAGGAAGAGCGCUCCUUAUCUGUCAGUGCUUCAAGGAAGAGAAUUAAUAUUUGAGAAGAAACAUCAACUAGCUGGAAGUUGGCGAGUCAGACAGAGCUUCCAAAUAUAACCUGUGGAUUCCGUCCUUGAAGAAGAACUUCAAUCUAGAGGAUGUGUGCUGGGUUGUCAGUUCUGGAGCACAGCUAUGGAUAGCUGGCUUAGGUUUCUAGAAGCUCUGCAAACGAAGUCUGCAGGAGCCUCUCUCCUCCUGUAUGAAAAGCAAAUGGAAAGAAAUGAGAGAGUUAAUGUAAAGCUUCCAGGCACUAAGAGCUCUCAAGGGAACUUAAGCUGCGAGUGCUGAGGACAAGUUGUUUAGUGCACGAUUAAAUAAAUGAAAGCCAGAGCCAUCCCCCAAAGCUUCAAAAUGGAAAUCAGAUGAAGACUCUGAAACUCAUAAUGAACGUCCAGCUAAUUGGUAGACACUCCAUAUAAUAAUUUAGGAAGCUACCUGCUGCUUUCUUAACUCUGACAAACUCAGAAAGAGGGUUCAAGAAGAAAA